rnacentral:rRNA from 1 species
UCCUAGCCGUAAACGAUGCUCACUAGGUGUUGCCGGCAUCGACCCCGGCAGUGCUGUUCUGCUAACGCGUUAAGUGAGCCGCCUGGGGAGUACGGCCGCAAGGCUGAAACUCAAAGGAAUUGACGGGCCCCCGCACAAGCGGUGGAGCAUGUGGGUCAAUUGGAUGCUACGCCAAGAACCUUACCAGGGCUUGACAUGUUCCCGCCCGCGUGAGAGAUCACGCCUUCUGCGCAAGCAGACGGGAUCACAGGUGGUGCAUGGCUGUCGUCAGCUCGUGUCGUGAGAUGUUGGGUUAAGUCCCGCAACGAGCGCAACCCUCACCGGAUGUUGCCAUCGGGUAAUGCCGGGGACUCUUCCGGAACUGCCUGAGCA